GUCGGCGUGGCGGAACGGUAGACGCGCCAGCCUUAGGAGCUGGUGCCCUUCAUGGGCGUGGAGGUUCGAAUCCUCUCGCCGACACCA
rnacentral:tRNA from 1 species